UCUCCACCAAAAUUCAACCACCCUUUUGAAUAAAUCUCAUUUAUCCCUACAGGGUCUCUUAUAAUGGACCUAUCAAAAAAAGGUGUUAGAUGUUGAGGUAAUGACAAAGAGGGUGUGUUUUUUUCAAGGUUGGAACAAAAGUAAGACCAUGCUUUCAUAAACAAGGUUGAAGAUUUUCCAUCAACAGCUGCAUGGUGUGUGGUUAUACCAAUACAAAAUCCAUGGUUAGGAAAAAAAGUGACUUGUAGUGAAAUAAUUGAUGCUUUUUCAUUUGAAAUCUCCAAACUUGGGAUUAAGUGUUGUUUUUUUUCAACUUCACAAAAAUUUGAACAUAAAAGGUUGAAAUUUUCAUUUGAUUCAGCUACAAUCAAUGGAAUGGAAUCACUAGGGACAUAGUUGAUGAUGGGAUGUGAUGAAUCUUGUGGCCAUGUGAUGUUACCAACAAGAAGGAAGAGAGUGUUUGAGAUUUGGAAGAAUGGAAUCAAAAAAAGAAGUGGUUGAUAAAUUUGGGUGUUCAUAAAAGAAGAGACGUUCAACUGGUGGGAGUCUUAGCCAUAGUGAGUCAAAGAAAGUGAAGGGAAAAGUAGUUGGGGAGGUUUCAUUUUGAGGUGCUAUUGAAAAAUUUUUAUGAACUUUGAGAGAUAUUGCCAUGAGAAAUUGAUGAGGAAAUGAGGCUUGGCAAUUUGUAGACUUAAUAAGCAUUUUAUGAUGAUGAUGAUGAUGAUACAUAGGCUAUGAAUAUGCUUUCAAUAUAUGACAAGGACAUAUCUAGGAAUCACACGUCACAUGGUUCGAAUUGGUGAGGAUUUGAAGUAUUUAUCUAAGGGGAACUUCUACGGUACACUGUAAAUUAAGGUGUACUGGUAUUUUUAUUUCAUAAAUUUAUAAAUUAAUGAUCAAUUUUAUGAAAUAAAUAGUUAUUUAUCGGUAUUUAUAUUUUAGAAAAUACUAUUUCAUAUGUCAUUCAUUGUUUAUAAGAAUCAUAGUAUUUUUUUUAGAUAUUAUCGUAUAAAAUAAUCAAAGUUCUCUAUUAUAAGCGAUAAAAAUUCAAAAAAAUCAAUUUUAUUUCGUUUACGCUUGUGAUGAAUAAGAUUUAAUCAUUAUAAUUAUAAAUAAAAAAUAAUAAUAUUUUUCUUCAUAAAAUAACUCAUUUACCAAUAAAAUUAAAGGUUUGGUGUACCGAUACACUCAAAUAUGUUGGGUGUACCGUAGAAUUUGUCUAUGUAAGCUCCUUUUCACCUUAUUGUUUUGUUUUUUACUUUAGGAAAUUUUUGAUGUAGGAUGUCGGCAAAGAUGUUGAACAUAUUGGUUUCAAGUCAUACGUGUCGAAAAGGCAAGUUUGCAAAUAAAGGGUGACCAUUCUUUGGAUGAUCUCCGUGCUUUUUUUUUUUAUUUGUGUUUGAACUUCGAAACUUGCAUAUAUAAUGCAUUGUCUAUACCAACUAAAUUAAAUUCACGAACACCUCUUUGUGUUUAACGUUGAUAUAUAAAAUACUAACGAGUUUUUAAAAUUUUACCAUAUCAACUUUCUUAUAUUGUAUUUAAAAAUUUACUUAUGUAAUUUUAAAUUUUUAAAAUCUACAACAAGCGUGGGCCAAAUAUUUAACGUGUUUUGUAUAUAAAAUAAAAAAUAUUUAAUAAAAAAAUACAUUAAUGUCGAUAUUUUGAAAAUAGUCACGAGUUUUCAAAAUAUUAUCAUAUCGACUUUCUCGUAUAGUACAUAAAAGUUUACUUCUAUACAUUUGUCAAUUUUUUUUACUUCUAUAUCUAUAAGUAAAUAAAAUCUGCAACGGAAGCGAUGCAAAUAUUUAACAGAUUUUUGCAUACUAAAAAAAAAUAUUUAAUUAAUAAACCUCUUAAAACAUAUUUAACAUAAACAUUACAUUAAUGCCGAUAAUUUUCAUCUAAUACAUUUAUACAUUUUACAAUAUUUACAAUGUAAUUAUUUUUUAUAUAAUUACCACAAUAUUACGCGAUCUAUCUGAAUACACAUAUUUUUACUAAUGAUGCUUAAAGAGCCACCAUCGAUCUAAAAUGGUACACAAAAAUGAAUAUGAAUAUGUACCUUGACUGACCUCGACAUAAAUGUUACAAUAAUGACGUGGCUAUGCAUUGUUGCAUCUAGAAGUAAAACACCAGUACACCACCUUAAUUUGGUGAAAUUAUUCUACCGACACAAUCAUAAAUAAUAAAUAUUUACAUUCACAUCAAAUACAAAAAUUAAUAAAAAAUAAAACUAAAUAACAUUGAUUGAUGUGGUUUAUUUAUUUUUAUUUUAAUUUUUUCUAUUUGAUGUAAAUGUGUUCAAAUAUUUAUCAUUUUUGAUUGUGUUUACAUAAGAGUUUCUUAAUCAAUCCUAAACAAAAAUAUUCAUAGAAAAGAAUACGUGGACUGCAUAAUGCAUUAUUUCAAUUACUUGCUUAUCACAUCACAAUCACAUACUAUAUUAUUCCUUAAAAAAAUCACAUACUAUAUUACUGGCAUCUUGACAUUAUGCUAAGAAAAUAUAUAAGACGACAAAAAAACUAUGACUACAACAUGUUUGAAAGUUUACACUGUGGAGAGAUUCAAGGAGACAAACAUUGAAGGCGCCUUGAGUUUGAGAUAAAACAAGUAUAUGAAGCUAAAACAUCCAGAUUUGAGGAGGCAAAGCUUACCAUUCAUUAAUUCAUUUCAAUCUAACAAAUAUCCUUAAAAAAAAAUUGUGAAUAUUUUUCUUUUUUCUCUUUUACAAUUUGUUUUUUCUCCAGAUUUAUUUAAUAACUGAUGUAUUUAGUUUAUAUUGUAAACCAAAAACAUUAAUUAUAUAAUAAAUCUUUAAACAAAUUGUUUAUGUCUGAGACCAAAUUCAUAAUAAAAUACUCUCUCCGUUUCAAAUUGUAUAACGUUUUGGACAUUUCACACAUAUUAAGAAAUGUAAUUAAUAUUGUGUGAGAAAGAGAUAUUAUGAGUUGUUUUACAAAAUUGUCCUUAAUAAAUUAUAUGAGAAAGAUAAAUGAAUGAAUUGAAAGAAAAGAGAGUAAUAAAUAGUUAAAGACAUAAUAGAAAAAGUAACAUUAAUAUUUUAUUAGUAUUGUAAAGCGACAUAUAAUUUGCGACAAUUUUUUUUCUUUCUAAAAUGACUUACAAUUUGGGACGGAGGGAGUACAUAUUAACAUAAGUAUUUUAAUUUGACAAAAAAAAAAUGUAUUUUAAGAAUUUAUCUUGUCCUACUUGGGGUGAUGAGCUAGAAGACAUUGAGCGAGUUUAAAGCAAAAGGUCCUCAACAAUUUCAAUUUCCAAACUUAUAAAAACAAUUCAAAAUAUAAAUCCAAGAUGUGAAUCGUCUGAUCUAAAUCGAGAGAUUAAAAUCUACAACAGUACGAUUGUGUUUUUUUAAAAGGCAAAGUAAUAUAUGAUAGACAAUCCAUUUUCUUGAUACAAUUACAAUGAUUCAAGUCCUUGAACAAAAAGUUGAGCAAAAACCUCCAUUUGUUGUUUGUUCAAAGCCAAACCAAUCUCAAUUCCACCAUCAUUAUUCCUAUUCUCCGAAAGAGAAAAAGCUCCUGUUUUAUCAAUAGAAGUAACAUCAACUUUCUUAGGUUUACCCCAUCCAAAAUCAAAACUAUAAACAUCAAACCUAGGUGACCCGGCAAUAGAAAACAUCCUAUCUGUCUCACUCAUUGUAGAUUGCAUUAUUGACAUCCAAUUCUCCAAACCCUUCAACACACCAUUUUCCAAACCCUUCAACACAUCACUUAUCCCUUCAAGAGCACUAAUAAAUCCAUCAUCUUUUAAAAAUUCCUCGGUUUCACCCAAAACUAAUUUUGACACAACACAAUUUCCAAAAUAAUUUGCAUUAAUUGGUGGAUCCAAACGUGGCCUACAAUCCACACUAAAAAUAAAAGGUACCUUGUUGGAUUUUGGUUGGUCAACUUUUAUCGUACAUGCCAACAAAUAAGCACAAGUAACUGAAAAAGUUGAAAGCUUAAUAACCUUGUUAUUUUUUUCAAUCUUGGAUUGUGCAUGUUUCUUAAGCUUUUGAAUAUCCAAAGGUGACAAUUGAAAAAUACCUUUGGUUGCUUCACCCUUUAUUGUAUUAAUUGUUUCCCAAACCUUCAAGCUUCGAUUAUUUGUUUCUCCACCAAAAUUCAACCACCCUUUUGAAUAAAUCUCAUUUAUCCCUAUAGGGUCUCUUAUAAUGGACCUAUCAAAAAAAGGUGUUAGAUAUUGAGGUAAUGACAAAGAGGGUGUGUUUUUUUCAAGGUUGGAACAAAAAUAAGACCAAGCUUUCAUAAACAAAGUUGAAGAUUUUCCAUCAACAGCUGCAUGGUGUGUGGUUAUACCAAUACAAAAUCCAUGGUUAGGAAAAAAAGUGACUUGUAGUGAAAUAAUUGAUGCUUUUUCAUGUGAAAUUUCCAAACUUGGGAUCAAGUGUUGUUUUUUUUCAACUUCACAAAGAUUUGAACAUAAAAGGUUGAAAUUUUCAUUUGAUUCAGCUACAAUCAAUAGAAUGGAAUCACUAGGGACAUAGUUGAUGAUAGGGUGUGGUGAAUCUUGUGGCCAUGUGAUGUUACCAACAAGAAGGAGGAAGUGGUUGAGUGUGAGCUCAAGGGAAUGUUUGAGAUUUGGAAGAAUGGAAUCAAAGAAAAAAUUGGUAGAUAAAUUGGUGUGUUCAUAGAAGAACAAACGUUCAACCGGUGGAAAUCUUACCCAAAGUGUGUCAAAGAAAGUGAAGGGAAAAGUAGUUGGGGAGGUUUCAUUUUUUGGUGAUAUUGAAAAAACUUGAUGAACUUUGUGAGAUUGUGCCAUAAGGGAGGGAAGAAAUUGAUGAGGAAGUGAGGCUUGGCAAUUUGUUGACUUUAUAAACAGUUUAUGAUGAUGACGAUGAUGAUACAUAGGCUAUGAAUGUGCUCUCAAUAUAAUAAUAAUAAUAAUAAUAUAAUAAUACAUUCUUUAUAAAUCAAUUCCUUAAGGUAUCCAAUUUAUUUGCAUACAAAUAGUGCAUACAAACAAUUUCAACACUAAUAGUGCAUACAAAUCAAUUCCUUAAGGUAUCCAAUUUAUUUGGAGGAAAGAUGUCCCGUUUAAGAUAUCGGUAUUUGCUUGACGACUUUUUCGUAAUAGAUUGUCUACGAAUGAUAAUUUAUUUUAAAGGAGGAUUAUAUAGGAAUAUGCUCAGUUGUGUGCUUCUGGAUGUGGGAUGUUUGAAUCGGCGGAUCACCUAUUUUUGCAUUGCGAUGUGUUUGGUCAGGUUUGACAACUUGUUCGUCAUUGGUUAGGUGUUUCUUCAAUAAACCCAUUAACCACCUCGGAUCAUUAUCUUCAGUUUUGUAUUUCUUCUGGUUUUGCUAAUUCCAGAUGCUCUUUUAUGCAUUUAGUAUGGUUUGCAAGCAUUUGGGCAAUUUAGAAGGAAAAGAAUGCAAGAAUAUUUUGUGUAAAAGAAUCAUAAGUUCAAAUCUAGGUCACCACAUUUCACCUCGCUUAUGUGUGUGUUUAUUUGAAUAUUUGUUGGUGACUAAGCUAAUAAAAAAAAUACGCAGUAAGAUUCAAUAACAUGAUUUUUUAGUUUGUACAAAAAAAACAUAAUUUUUUAGUUUCCUCCUUGUUUUUUAGGACGAAGGAGGGUGCAAGAUAAUUAAAGUGGCUUCUUAUAAUUUUUUAUUUUAUAACAAUGAUAGUUUUAUUAAAUGCUAAAACUGUUUAAACAUUCAAUAUAUUAAGUUUUUUUUUUUGUUACGGUCAAUGCUUUUCUUAGUGUCAAUAUUAAAGAUAUAAAAAAAAAAAAAUUAAAAAACCGUUUAUGGGAUUUUAUUCUUCAUUAUUGAAGGCUGGAUCUAACCUAAGGAUCCAUCUAGACUUCAUAACGUGCAAAUCAAUAUUAGUUAAUGAUCUAGUCACGAUGAUUAUUUAUACUCAGUGUCUUACAUACUUCAAAUAUACUUAACUUUACUAGAGGAAACCUAAAACUUAUUUUCUCUGAUCACAUUUAUAGUAGAUAUUCGUCCGUUAUUUAAUUAAUCUAGAAAAUGAAUAGUUGUUUAUAAUUUUUGUUUUGGUAGUGUAUAGUUGUUUAUUAUUUUUUUUGACAAAAAUAAAAUGAUAUUCAUUCAUUCAAAUCGAGAGAUUACAUCAUUCAACACCGCUAAAAACGUAAAGGAUGAAUCUGCGAACAAACUUACAUCAUCUAAGUUAAUAGCAUAUAACAACAUAAUGCCUACAAAAAUAUAUGAUAAAAUUAAAGUGAUCGGAAUAUCCAUGACCUCCGAAUCUGCAACGUUGAUGCCCAAAUCUUUGAUUGAAUAAUCGAUCUUUCAAUAUGAAUCAAAUGAACACCUCACGAAGACGGGAAAUCAAACAACACCGCACAAGACGACGAACAACAAACCACCACACUUAGAUGAUGAAAUCACAAAGGAAAAACAAAAAAACCUAGAUCUAUAUAUGUGAAAAUCACUUAUUUAGAUUGAAAUAGAGAGAAAAGAUGAAGAUGAGUGAUUUCAGGUCAAGAAUUGACCCAAAACCACCCCUCAAUGGAGAAACUGUAAGAGAAAACCUAAAGAGAUAAAACUAGAUUUGCCUUAUUAGUGUAUAGUUGUUUAUAAAUGUAACAAGAAUUUUAUAUUUUUAAUGUCAUAUAGUUUUUUUGUUAUAUCACUAACAACAUAGCCUUAAUAUUUAAUACUACUAAUUUUAUUUUUUUUGAAAGAAUUUAAUACUACUAUUUUGAAAACUCGUAUAACAUGCAUUCAAUGAAGGGCGUAAGCCCUCUUUUACCACAAAAAAAAAAACUCGUAAUGGAUGUUGCUAUCAACGUAGUCGUGAGUCUAUGAGAAACGAAUCUUAAUUGUUGAGUUAGGUCAAUACAUUUGUCUCACCAACUCCGUCAUAUGCAUCCAAGCAGGCAGGCAGCUGUAUAUCAUUUGGAUUUGGAAGCUUCUUUUCUACUUUUGAAAAUCAUUUCUAAAAUAUACUAAAAAAUUUAAAAAUUUAUGUCAUUCUAAGACAAAAAUACUUUUUUAUUUAUUUCCAAAAUACAUUUUUUUAUGUGAAAAAAUAUAUUUUCAUAUUUGUGGUAGGAGAGAGAAGCUCUCAUUUCAUUUAACAUAUUUUAAAAGAGAUAUUUGAGUCAAAAAAAAUUAAUGUAUCUGAUCAAAAUAAAACCAAAUACAUCUAUCCGUUGAUUUAAAUGUUUUUUAUAUCUAUAAUUGGGAUUGUAUGAACUUAGUUUUUCAUUUUGUAUGGCAAGCAUAUGAGUUAUGUCCACACUUUUAUUAUCGCAAAAUUAAAUGACGUGGUAGUUAACAAUUGUUUCAAUGUUGUUUUUCAUUUGAAUUAAACAUUCAAGACAUUGUUUAGUUUUAUCUUCUUUCUAAUGUACUUUUAGUUGCUUCAUCAUGUAUAAUAUUAUAUAUGUUAGACAAAUCUCUCUAUUUGCUAAAAAAAAAGAGACAAAUCUCUCUAUCUCCAUGUAUAUUCCAUACUUAAAGCUUAUCUCUAUGUAUAUUCUAUACUUAAUGCUUAUUUUUGUCUAAACUUAAUCUUAGCUUGGCUCAGAUGGCUCAUAUAUGUCAAUGUAUUUUGAUAGUUGCGGCUGUGUUGAAUUGUAAAUUUAAAACAUUUUAAUAUAUGGGGUUUAAGUUGAUUUUAAUUAAUUAUGUGUUGAUGGUACGUGAGUCGACUUCGUGUUAACGAUCGAUUCAUUUGCUAAAUGUUAGAUCCGAGCUUGAUUGUUAGAAUUGUUUAAGAUUGGAUCUACUUUAUGGAUAUUUUAGGGUUGUUGACCGAGUCAGGUUUUAUGUCCCUCCAAUUUUUAUGUAUUUUUUAAUAAUAUAUAUGAAUAAUUGACACUGAUUAGAGUAACAUACCAACUUAGUUGGACACUAUUCCUUUUUAUGUCAUUUUACUCUUAGCUUAUAAAAAAUUUAAUCAUGUGUUUUUUUUAUAAAAUAUUUUCUUUCAAAAACAAAAAUCUUAAGAAAAAAAGUGAUGUUAACAAAGAAAAAGGGGUUAAAAUCCUCUCCAUUCACUAUUUAUUUUUUGUUCAUUGAGGUGACAAAACAAAAGACCAGCACUAGGAGUAUCAAUAUAGCAAUGCAAGGGGGAGUUGGAAGUAAAGAAAUUGUCACGUUUUCCAACUAAUAGCAUGUUUGGAUUUAUGUUGCAGUGCCUUUUUCGAGUCUCAUUGCGUUCUAGACGUGAUAAUAAAGAAGCUUUAAUUUGUAGAGUUUGGAAAAACGUACGUUUGGUGGUAUCCCACUGUGGAAACAAACACAAGUUAAAGGAGGAACAACGGCAAACACUUUGUGAAACAAUUGAGCUUAAGACGUUUUGGUGAUUGAAAUCAAAAUAUAUUACAUUCGAUUUUGAUUACUAUUUUUUGAAGGAUUAAUCAUAUUCAUUGUUUGUCUUUUUUUUUAAGAGCAAUGAUACAUGGACAUUCCCAUGUGGCAUACCACCAUCUACACCCUUCCAUGUGGCAUUUUUUUAUUAGUUAUAAUGGGCAAUUUUGUCUUUAAAAAUAAAAUGAGGGGCAAUUUUGUCCAAUACACUCACAACAACUUUCUCACCCUCUCUUUUCUGUCUUUCUUCUCCUUUACCGGCCACCACCACCAACUCCCACCGGCCACCGUUGUCCUCCGUCCUCAACCUCAAAUAUCACAUCUACCACCACCAUCGCCACCGUCCAAAAGCUAGAUCUCACAACCGUCGCCCUCGUCUCGAAGCUCAGAUCUCACCACCACUGCAGCCACCACAACCACCGUCAUUUUCAGAUCUAAACACACCCAUCGAUCGUCAUCAUUAACCUCUCAUCUCGACGCCUCCACCACCACCGUCCUCGCACUCUUUCUCCAAAACACAACAACAACAAUUUUAAACAAACCCAAAACAAGAGACGGCGAUGGCGUCGGAAUUUGAGGAAACAAGUGGCAGAGAGAAAGAGGUGAGGGAGAAGAGAGAAAUAGAGACAACCAUUUGAGGAGAAGGAGAGAAAAAAAUCAGAAUAGAGAGAUAUGAGGAGAAAGAGGAGAUCGGCAGGAAGAGAGAAGGAGAAAAUAAAAUUAGGGAGAGAGAAAGAUGAGAUAAGAUUUCAGGGGAGAGAGUGACAAAAAAUUUAAAAUUAAAAUGCCAUGUAGGAGGUGUACAAUGUGGUAGAGAAAAAAGGAGGUCUAUGAUGUAUCCUUUUUCUUUUUUUAAAGUUGUUCCUCUCUUUUUUUGCUUAUCCUUUAUUGAAUUUGUGAUGUAACAUUGUAACUCUUGUAAGUUUUUCCGAUAAACCUUGAGUUGGAAGGAGAAAUAAUACAAAGGUAAGGGACAUAGACCAAACCCACAAUGAACAUAAGGAAAUUUAUGAUUAUGCAAAGUUGAAUAUAUUCAUAAAGAAAUCCACCUACAAAAGCUUUGUCAUCGCAUUCCACCAACUAAAAUCAGAAAUGAUCAUACAAAUGAAACUAACCAAAAUAUGAAAAUUCUAUUAAUGAUGAUAUAAGUAUCUACCGAGUUCCCUUAAAAAAAAUAGUCUAUACCGAGUCCAAAACAACUAAAAUACUCGUAUGAGUUUAUACAAAUAAGUACUCCGUCCUAAAUUAUAAGUAAAAAAAACCUAUUUUCUUUGUCCCAAAUUAUAAAUAAAAAAGACUAACUUUUAUCAUAUUCAAAUAUGUUUUUUUAAAAAAUUAUCUUUUUCAAAGGAAAAUUAAAUGCAAAAUGCAUUCAAUUUGCUCUCAUUUUCAUUUUCUCUAUAAUCAACUACCAAUGAAAAUUAUUUUUACAUCUUCCUAUAAAACUUAUUUCAAAGAUAACACAAAAAACUAUGUUACAAACUACUACCUAUAUUUUAAUUUUUUUAAUAAAUGUGAUUUAUGUUUUUUUGCUUAUAAUAUAAAACGGAGGGAGUAUAUUCAUUAAUUUAACCAAGAAUGGUGUACUGUACCCAACAUAUUUAAAGUGUAUCAGUUCAGUUCAUCAAGAAUGAUUAAACACAUAUUUUAUCAUUAUUUAUGAAUCAUAUGCAUGAUUCGAUUAAUUAAUUGAGACUAAAUUAGAUAUUUAGUUUCAUAAUUGAUUUUAUAGUUUUAUUUGGUCUCAUAACUACAACUACUUGCGCAUUGGUCCCUAAAAUAGAUUUUCGUUAGUGGUCUCAUUAUGUCAAUUUAAACCUCAAAUGUUUAAGGUGGAUCAACAUUGUAGGUACUACAAUAGAUCUCAUUAUAUAUAUAAUUUUAACCAUUAUAUUUUUUUAUAAAAAAUGGGGAUCAUUGGAUAUCAUGUAGAUCUAUUAUAUCUUAUCGUAAACUAUAACACCCUACUUCUAUUAAAGCAAUUAAACAUGCGAAUAAUACAUUUAUUCAAGAAAUAGAGGCUACGCCACAUUCAAAAUUCAAAAAACCAAUAAACAUGUAUAUAAACCUCAACAGUCGCAGCGGAAUAUUAACCAGAGUAAAUCCAAGUAUACAUGUUAUGAAUCAAUAAAUUACAUCAACAUCGAUGCAUCUCAAAAAUCCCAACAAACGGGUAAUCUCCAAUCAUAACAAAAUCCAAAAUAUAAGAUAAUCUAGACCGACACAACGAAGCCUAGAUCAGAGCCGACUAAACAUCUAAACACCGAUAUCGGAGAAAGCUCGCGAUAUCCACCAAGCACAAUACUCACCAAGCAUCCUACACUUGCACAACGUCUACCCAUCCAUACAGAUAGGCAGGCGGUCCAUAACAGAUCCACUGGGGGUAAGUAUUACAUUAUCAUAAUACAAAUAACAAAUAACAUAAAUAUUUCAAUUUAAACAUCAUGCAAUUGAUCAAUAAUAAUAACACAUUAAUACUUACAUCACACCCCGAUAUCUCACAUCAAUAUUCAUCAAUCAUAUGAACAAUUAUCAAUUUACAAAUAUUCAUUCACAAUCACCAAUCACAUUUAUCAUGAAUAAUCAUUAAUCACAUUUCAUGAACAAUCACCAAUUACAUGUAUCAUGAAUAAAUAUCAAUUAACAGUUAUUCAUACACAAUCACCAAUCAUAUACAUCAUGAACAAUCACCAAUCAUAAGCCAUGAACAUUCACCAAUUACAUUUCAUGAACAAACAUCAUUCACAUGUAUCACGUACAAUCAUCAACACAAGUAUCAAGGGCAAUCAUCAAUCACAUACAUCAUUUAAGACUCAUGUCAUGAUAUGCACUUAUUGACACAUAAAUGCAUGUGGUACCAAAUCUCAACAAGGUCGUCACCUUUCGAUGCCACUUGCACAUCGUAUGUAAGGCUCACACCUGCCUUACAAUAAUCUCGAAGUAAAAGAGCUCAACCCUUUUACAACAACAUCGACUAUGAUGCAUGGACAUGUAUAAGGACUCGAUAAUGCGACAACAAUUAACAAUCUCAACCUCAAUAUAUAGGACAACACCCAAUUAUAUUGAUUAUCUCCACAACAUUGCAUUAUCAAGAAAACAUGCCCACACAAAUAAAUCAUAGCAUUCACCAUCACACCUCAACAUGAUUAUCAAUAAUCAACAAUGUCAUCCAACAUCAACUAUCACAUAUAGUUUCACCAUUUCAAACAAUUCUCAUAUUCCAAGUAAGAGAACAUACAACAUCUCAUGACAAAUAUCAUAUCCAACAUAUAAUCAUUCAACAUCAACUAUCACAUAUAGUUUCACCAUUCAAGCAUUCCUUACAUUCUAAGUAAGAUAGCAUACACAUCUCAUGAUAAACAUCAUAUCCAAUACAAUCAUUCAUUCAAACAUCUUCACUUAGUCAUAUAAGGAUAGUCACGAUAGAUUAUAAGAAAAUUGGUUCAAAGGAAACAUUUCCGACAAAAACCGUAUCAAGUGGCAAAAGGCCAACAUUGAUAAUUCCCAAGACAAAGCAACUUAGACAAAUUGAAAGCUCUCAAAAAAUCUUAAUCAAUAAUGUAGUCAUGAGCUUAAGCCACUUACAAACUAUUAGACAUCAGUUCAAAGAAUAACUUAAGUUCGUAUGAGAAAACCCAAUUUCACAAUCUUUCACAUUCCCAUCCGAAAUAUCAUUUUUGACAUGAUUAAGAUGUUUGACCAACCAUACAAGUCUUACCUAAGUCUAUAAGAGAUGUAGGUUUAACUUGUAAUCCUAUUUAGUUCACAAAAGUUCAUUUUGACAAAAUCCGACAUUUCCUAAAAUUCCAAGUUCCAUAUCAUUUCUUCCAUAUUUCAAAACCAAUUCAUUUUCAAAACAAAAACCAAGUUAGGAUCAAGCUAUGAUACUCUUAGAAGCUUAAUUAUAAAUUGAUUGAAUAAGGUUAAGAGUUUGGAAUCCAUUGGCAUGCUUAAAAGUACACAAAAACACGAAAAAACGAGGUUUCGGAAUUCUGCAGAACUGACACGGUCGUGCCAUCAGGAAGCACGGUCGUGCUCCCUUUACAGGAGAAACUGACACGGUCGUGUCAUCUAGACGCACGGUCGUGUCACCUCACCAGUACAGCAAAAUGCAUUUUUACGUUUUUGCGCAUAAAAUCUUGUUUUCGAAUCCGAUUUCAAUUCCGUUUUCGCCAAUGAAUUCCUAACACUUAGACCAUACAAACCACACUUGAAAACUUGACAUUUAAACAUUAAAACAACUUAAUCAACUCAUCCCAAAAUGACUUAUUUUGCAAAAGCACUUAAAAACCACUUUUACUCAAAAACCCGUUUUCUUCCCAAAACGAUUUCUCUCCAAAACCAAGUGAUUAAAACAGAAAAUCAUACCAUCAUAAUUCAUUAUAACAACUUCCUUAUCUCAUUCAACAUCAUCAAAAUCAAACUUCUUCUUUAUCAACCCAUUUUACAAAACCACCAACAACAACUCAUUUUCUCAACAACAAUCAUGAUAUAUGAACACCCAAGCCAAAAUUCAUGAUCAACAACAUAUCUCAGCAACAACAACAUCAAUUGAAACUUGAUUCACACACCAAUUCAACAACAACAUGUCAUAAGUCAUCAAUUAAGCAUAAUUUCACAACAACCCAUUUUCAUACAUUAUGAACAUAUUAUUUCAUCAUCAACCAUUCAUUUAACAUCAAAUAACAUAUCCAAACAUAUCUCUACAACAUAAGCACGAAUUUCAAAGAUUGGGUUCAUGAUAAUCACUUAUUCUCAUAAUCAAUUAUGCAUAAAAUCAAGAGAAAAAGAAUUAAACAAAUGAUUAUGAUAAAGACUAACCCCCUUACCUUUGAAGAUGAUUAUUCCUAAACUCUUGCUUCAAUUCAGCUCCUAAUCUUACCCCAAUUAUUCCUCAAGCUAUUCUCUUCAAAACCCUUGUUCUUCUCAUCACCUCUUUCUCUCUCUAGGAAAAUUUUAGUGAAGUGAACGAAAGAUAUUUUCUAUGACAACCCUAAUGUUAUCUCCCUUAAUGGGCUUAACUCAAAAUGCUAAUGGGCCUAACCCAUUCUAACAUAAUUCUAAAAAGUUUCUAUACACCCCACGGUAAUUACUAACAACGGUAAAACAUAACCAACUGUCACUAACGGUAAAAACUAAUCACAACACUAGUAACUUAGUAAAAUAAGGGUUCUCACUUAAUAUGAAAAUAAUUCUCACCCAAAUUACCAUUUUACCCUUACCCGUCAAAUGACCAAAAUACCCUCCUAAUACGGAAAUCCAUGUAAAUGCACCCACUGACAAUUAAUUACACACAAGCACCAAUAAUCACACACAAACACAUAAUAAAAGUAAUUAAAAUAAAUCUAGCUAAAAAUCGGGCUGUUACAUAAACCACCAACAAUUAAUUUUUUAUUUUUGUUUUAAAAAAAUAAUAAUUUACUUUUCUUCAUCUUCUUCCUCCAUCUUCUUCUUCCUCAUCUUCUUACACAUUCAAACCUAUAAAAUAAAGCUGAAUUUUUUUUUUAUAAACUUGAUCUUCAUCUCUUCUUCUCUCAAAAGUUUAAAACUCAAUUCAUUUUUAUAAAAACUCAAAUUCAGGAGUUUCCCUCCUUCCAAAUACUUCAAAACAAACCAUUUAUUAAGAAAGUGAGAAAGAGAGAAAUGAUUCAUUAACUUGAAUAGAAGUUCAUGAAGGUAUUUUUAUACAUUUCUCAAAUGUACUAUAUAUCUAAGAUGAAGUGUACUACAUAAAAUAACCUAAUUGUACAACACUAGCUUUGUGACUUGUACUGCAAGCUAUCUUCAUUCUCAUGCUUUUUAUCCUUUGAAUCUAAUAGCAUUCGAAUUAGAUGCAAACAAGACUGAGUAUUUUCGGAGAAUAAAGCAAAGCCACCAGACUAAAUAGAAUGAUCAACAACAAAAUUAGAACUAAAUCCUAAAUUUUAUCAGAAAAUUCACAUUCAAAAAACAAAUGAUUAACAGUUUCAUCUUUUCAAAAAAACAAUUUCAUCUUUCUCACAUCCUAUAGUAAUAACAAGAGAUUCAGAACGAAGAAUCUCACGACGAACUAAAUUGGCCUUUGUAGAAAUCCUAUUAUUGAGAAGCCACCAAUCAAACAAGGACAAUUUCAACAAAGUUGUUUUAUUCCAACUAACAUUCAAGAGAGCUGAAGAUGUUGGAUAAAUUAUUUAAUUAAUCAAUUAUAAAUUGAUUCUAACAAAUUUUCAGAAAUUAUUUUUAAUACUACUAUAAAUUAUGGUACAUUAAUGUUUUAAGAAUUAAGUAAUUGAUGAAUAUGUGUGUUAGACUCUUUUUCUGAAUGGACAUGAUGGAUCAAACCAUACAAUUAAGCUCAAUUCGAGGUUCGUGUCCUCGAUCGUUUAACUAAUUCAAAGUCAUCCUAUCAAACGGUUAAACAUAAAACAAUAAUGUAAUAUGUGUAUGCAUUCAUGAUCUAUCUUUGAUAAUGUAAAAUAUAUGUUGUAAUUUGUAUUUUGAUAUGGCUAACUCUGUUAAAUUCAACAAUGGUAUCGGAGAAAAAAUAUAUAUUUUAUGGGUAUUUGUUUUUGAAUCGUCUGAACGGAAUAUGUUUUCCCCGUAUACUUAUUUUCAAUUGUUUGCAUGGGGCUAUUGUAUUGUUUGUUAAACCCUAUGAAGAAAAUUGUUAGAAGGGCUAUGAUGUACUACUGUCGUACUGAGAGAUGUCAAUGAAUGACUAAUGGUUAGAAGGGUUUACGAAAUUCCUUGGAGUCACUGCUGAUUAUUAUAUGGUUGAAUUAUGGGGAAUUUAUGAGCGUCUUUGCAUAGCAAGACUCUUUGGUAGUUGUUUAGAACACAAGGCAUGAGAAUAAUGAUAGUGUUAUGGAUAUAAAUCUUAUGAAGAAAAUCGUAGUGUGAGAAUCAAACUUUAAAUCUUGAGAAAGAGUACAUUUCAAAAAUCCAAGUCAAAACCAUCAGUGAGAAAGUCGAAUGAGUCAAACUAAGAGAUUUUGAUCACUCAUGUGUCUCAAAAAGCUAACAUGAGUUAUAAAAUUUUGAAUUUUUUUCACAGUCAUAUUUAGUUCAUUAUAAAAUUUUGAUUUUUUUUCACAGUCUUAUUUAGUUCAUUAUAAAAUUUUCUCUUACAAAAGUUUAAGUUUUUUAAAAAUGAAUGAAUUAAAUGUUAAUUUUUUACGUUUUGCUGCUUUAAAAUUCAUAUUUUGUUAAAAAAAAUCUUUUUUUUUUUCAAUCAAAAGAAAAUAUAAAAAAAAGAGGAAAUAGAAAAGCUAAGGGGGCAUAAACCUGACUCAACAAUCACAUAAUCAACCCAUAAAGCGUAUUACAACAGUGAUUAAACAAAAGUGGUAUAAAGAUACAAAUGCUUUGCGGUCAAAUACACAAGUACAAUUCGGCAAACCCAACGCGGGAUACGAAACCAAAUUUCAAAAGAAAGUGACGUAAAAAACAACAAGCAUAACCAUCAAACCAGACUAGAGACGAAUCUAAAUGAAAUUCAAACUCUUUUUUUUUUUUUUUUUUGUGGCGUAUGAACUGCCGCCAACACGGACAGAUUCACUGACCACCUACCGCUACAAAUAAAGACAGCAAGCAUCGCGGCCCUUUCGAGCACAACAAACUCUAAAAAAAAAUAUCUAUUUUGAGAGAAACCAUUCUUGUAAAAGAAAAACAUUGAGAGAAAAAGUAGAUGGAACAUGGCAUAACAUUCAUUAAUUCGAUCUAACAAAAUUGAUAUCUAAGAUGUGUGAGUGUUGUAAAUCCUUCAAAUUUACAAGGAUUCAAGUCCUUGAACAAAAAGUCGAGCAAAAUCUUCCAUUUGUUGCUUGUUCAAAGUCAAACCAAUCUCAAUUCCACCAUCAUUAUUCCUAUUUCCCGAAAGAUAAAAAGCUCCUGGUCUAUCAACCGAAGUAACAUCAACUUUCUUAGGCUUACCCCACCCAAAAUCAAAACUAUACACCUCAAACCUAGGUGACCCGGUAAUAGAAAAAAUCUUAUAAGUCUCAUCCGUUCUAGAUGUUUUAGAUUGCAUCAUUGACAUCCAAUUUUCCAAACCAUUUAACACACCAUUUUCCAAAUCAUUCAACACAUCAAUUAUCCCUUUAAGAGCACUAAUAAACCCACCAUCUUCCAACAAUGCCUCAGUUUCAUGCACAACUAAUCUUGACACAAUACAAUUCCCAAAAUAAUUUUCAUUAAUUGGUGGAUCCAAGCGUGACCUACAAUCAACAGCAAAAACCAAAAAUGCCUUAUUGGGUUUUUGUUGGUCAACUUUAACCCCUAAUGACAACAAAUAAGCACAUGUAACCGCAAAAGUUGAAACCUUUUUAUUUUCAACCUUAGAUUGUGCAUAUUUCUUAAGCUUUUGAAUAUCCAAAAGUGAUAAUUCAAACAAACCUUUGAUUGCUUCACCUUUUGUUGCACUUAUUGUUUGCCAAACCUUUAAGCUACGAUUAUUUGUUUCUCCACCAAAAUUCAUCCAUUUUUUUGAAUGAAUUUCAUUUAUUCCUAAAGGGUCUUUUAUAAUGGACCUAUCAAAAAAAGGUGUUAGAUUUUGAGGUAAAAACAAAGAGGGUGUGUUUUUUUCAAGGUUGGAACAAAAAUAAGACCAAGCUUUCAUAAACAAGGUUGAAGAUUUUCCAUCAACAGCUGCAUGGUGUGUGGUUAUACCAAUACAAAAUCCAUGGUUAGGAAAAAAAG
rnacentral:lncRNA from 1 species